rnacentral:rRNA from 1 species
UACGUAGGGUGCAAGCGUUAAUCGGAAUUACUGGGCGUAAAGCGUGCGCAGGCGGUUAUGUAAGACAGGUGUGAAAUCCCAGGGCUCAACCUUGGAACUGCAUUUGUGACUGCAUAGCUAGAGUGCGGUAGAGGGGGAUGGAAUUCCGCGUGUAGCAGUGAAAUGCGUAGAUAUGCGGAGGAACACCGAUGGCGAAGGCAAUCCCCUGGACCUGUACUGACGCUCAUGCACGAAAGCGUGGGGAGCAAACAGG